AUGAAAUUGGAAAUAUAUGAAUUUUGUUUAUUUAAUUUGAGGCCACUUUUCUGUAUACACCUUCAUAUCCUUGUUUAUUUCCGGUCCCUCGGCUUACUGUUGGAUUUAUUUGCAAGGAGAUUAUUUUUUUUAAUCAUUUAUUUAGGAGUUUAUUUGAGUCCUCACCAUAUAUUCACAACAUAA